GGCAGAAGCAUUUACUGACAUUCCUCUCUUUACAAAACAUGUCCUUCGGCUUACAAAACAUUUGCAGUGUGUGAUUUAUUUGUUGAUAACAUCACGAAAAUCCAGGGUAAGACUUGUCGAAGCCUGUGUGGUUUUCAAUUGUUUUUCCUCAACAAUAUGUUAAUAAUAACAUUGUAGUGCAGCUAGACAAUUACACAGGGACGGCCCUUUUAUCUCUCAUUUUUGUUUUGUUCUAGGCCAGUGAAUGACAUGUCGGUAUUCAGAAAUCUGAUAGACUUCACCCUGCACGUCUGCAAUUGUGAAAUCGCCUCAAUGCUGCGAUGUCAAAUCUCUCAUCUUCGUUCCUCAGAUUCCUAUUAUCCCAAAUUCAUUUGAACAAACUGGUGGGAAAAUUCCCUUCGAGUCUAUUCUUUAUGGGGCGCUGGAAAACCUAGAAGAAUAGACUUUGUCAUGUGCAAAUAUGGAGACCACAAAUGGUUCUGAAGACUAUUGCCAUUGUCUG